GCAGAACAAUACAGGAUCGCUGAAUGAUAUGUUAAAAUGAAGACGAUGACAACACGACAGAUGGUAGAGCUCAUGAGUCUAUGCGUGGAAUGCACACGUGCCACAAGCACACAUGCUGCAGUGCAGGACGGUUUAACUGAAUUCUCACACUAACAGCUCGUCAUUGCAGGGACAUCAGGUCGCUCACCUGUUCUUCAGGCCCGGUACGGCUGCGAUGCAGAUGAUGCGAGCCGAGCAGACAGCAAUGCAAGCCUCCACUGUUGGCUCAUCGCGGAUGUUUAACAGACACACCUGACCCA